GACGAACGCUGGCGGCGUGCUUAACACAUGCAAGUCGAACGAGGCCCCUUCUUCGGAAGGGUGUCCUAGUGGCGAACGGGUGAGUAACACGUGGGCAACCUGCCCCCGGCUCGGGGAUAACCCCAAGAAAUUGGGGCUAAUACCGGAUACGACCGCUGACCGCAUGGUCCGGUGGUGGAAAGAUUUAUCGGCUGGGGAUGGGCCCGCGGCCUAUCCGCUUGUUGGUGGGGUAGUGGCCUACCAAGGCGACGACGGGUAGCCGGCCUGAGAGGGUGACCGGCCACACUGGGACUGAGACACGGCCCAGACUCCUACGGGAGGCAGCAGUGGGGAAUAUUGCGCAAUGGGCGGAAGCCUGACGCAGCGACGCCGCGUGGGGGAUGACGGCCUUCGGGUUGUAAACCUCUUUCAGCAGGGACGAAGCGCAAGUGACGGUACCUGCAGAAGAAGCACCGGCCAACUACGUGCCAGCAGCCGCGGUAAUAC
rnacentral:rRNA from 1 species